ACUCGUGGCGCCCCCACCAACAAAUCUCUCCCCCCCACCGGGCAAUGCGGUUAAUGAUAUCAGUACUCUGCUAGUUUUCUCUCUGUAUUACCUGUUUUACUUGUGCAGGGCCCGAUAGUUUUCCCAUCAUGAGUUGAUUAACUUGGAUAGCUCGUGAACAAAAGCUUUUCACUGUAUCUUGGUAAAUGUCACAUUAAUGAACCAAUAACAAUGGGUGAGCAACCUACUACAAGGUCUUAAAUAUGAAUGAACACCUAAUUUCUGGUCAAAUUUACAACCUGCAUCACACACAAA